GGAAGGAUCAUUAUUGAAUAAACUUGAGCAGGCUGUUGCUGGCCCUCCUUUUGGGGAUGGUAUGUGCACGCUUGUCAUCUUUAUCUCUCCAACUGUGCACAUAUUGUAGACCUAGAAGCUUUUUUUUGAUUGUUCAGAUUGAGGACUGCUGUGCUUUUUCAAAAAGUCAGCUUUGCCUUGUAUUUCCAGGUCUAUGUUAUUUUUCACAACCUCUGAAUGUGUUUAGAAUGUUGAAUUGGGUCAUUUGUACCCUAUAAAGUUAUAAAUAUACAACUUUCAGCAACGGAUCUCUUGGCUCUCGCAUCGAUGAAGAACGCAGCGAAAUGCGAUAAGUAAUGUGAAUUGCAGAAUUCAGUGAAUCAUCGAAUCUUUGAACGCACCUUGCGCUCCUUGGUAUUCCGAGGAGCAUGCCUGUUUGAGUGUCAUUAAUCUCUCAACUACACCAUUCAUUUGGUGUGGCUUGGACAUGGGGGUUUUGCAGGCUUCAAAAAUGAAGUCGGCUCCCCUGAAAUGUAUUAGUGGUAUCUGAGCAGAAACUACUACAGGUGUGAUAACUAUCUAUGCCUUGGUGUACUGCAUGAAACAGAUUAUGCUGCUUCUUAACAAGUGAAGCCCCUUUGGGGCCACGAUUUGACAUAUUUGACCUCAAAUCAGGUAGGACUACCCGCUGAACUUAAGCAUAUCAAUAAGCGGAGGAAAAGAAACUAACAAGGAUUCCCCUAGUAACUGCGAGUGAAGCGGGAAAAGCUCAAAUUUGAAAUCUGGCGGUUUUUGACUGUCCGAGUUGUAAUCUAGAGAAGUGUUACCUGUGCUGGACCAUGUAAAAGUCUCCUGGAAUGGAGCAUCAUAGAGGGUGAGAAUCCCGUCUUUGACAUGGACUACCUGUACAUUAUGGUGUGCUCUCAAAGAGUCGAGUUGUUUGGGAAUGCAGCUCAAAAUGGGUGGUAAAUGCCAUCUAAAGCUAAAUAUUGGCGAGAGACCGAUAGCGAACAAGUACCGUGA
rnacentral:rRNA from 1 species